AGGUCUCCCUCGGUUAUGAGGAUUACAUUCUGGGAAAGACACAGAUCGAGUGGACAGCCAGCACCUUUUCCCCCAGGGUGAAAAUGGCUAAAAGGAGAGGCUGAUUGGAGGAGAGUACAGGGGGAUGUCAAAGGUACUGCUUUUUUUAAAACAGGGUGAUCAGUGGGAGACUGAUACAUUGGUGACAGUAAAGAGACUCUUAGAUAGGAUGGAGUGCUACAUGGAUGGCUACCCCUUGAGUUUGAUGAAAGAGGGAGGGGCCAGAUCCAGUUCUGCCAGACGGAGGAGGGUAGUGAUGGAGGGGACCUGGUCGGGUUUGCUAUCGAGAGUGAAGCUUUUUUCAAGGAAGUGAUAACCUCAAAGUGGUGUCCCGUUAUGGAUGGUGCCCUGUCUGAUGCUCAAGCAAAAAACAUUGCCCCCAUGAAAAUAACAACUCUUGAAUCAUGCCUUCAUUACUUAUGAAGUGACAUAAUGAAGAAGUAAAGAUCUGUUGCCCGGUGAAGUUGACUCAUCCAACUGCAGAGCAAAUGCUGUUGUCCUAAGUAUGUUGCAUGAUGUGUCUUCCAAGUUCUCAGACAUUUCAUCUAUUUGUCUUUGAACAGAGUUGUUCUGGUGGUUAUACAAAUAUUUACUUAAAACCCCUCCCUUACUGCUGGCAAAAUUAGUUCUUCUCCCGUUGUAGGGGCUUUCCUGAUUUAGCAAGGGGCAAUGAAAUGUUGUAUGAAGCAUGGAAACCAUCACCAUUUUGUUGUGAAGGGCUGAUAAACAUGUUUUGAAGUGUUUUCCAUUUCUGAACGUUUUCACGAAAUGUCUGAAAAUAAACUAAGUUCUUCUUUGCUUUAUCAGAGUGUAUUUUCCUCAAAUUUUCAUGGAGCCUGGAUGGUUUCAUUGCCUCAUUUGA